rnacentral:misc_RNA from 1 species
GUGAAUCAUCGAAUCUUUGAACGCAAAUUGCACUCUCUGCGGAGAGUAUGCGUGUUUGAGGGUGAGACUAAAAAAAAAUCGACAUAGUCGCUGUGUCGCGGUGACAUUGGUCGGAAAUUGGGUCAUGUUAAACCUUUGGGUUUUAAGCGGCUUAAAAUUUUUUUUACGAUUGCACGAACGUUUCUACGAGUUACUUCUUAUACGUUUG